rnacentral:rRNA from 1 species
UAAUGAGGCGAACCGGGGGAACUGAAACAUCUAAGUACCCCGAGGAAAAGAAAUCAACCGAGAUUCCCCCAGUAGCGGCGAGCGAACGGGGAGGAGCCCAGAGCCUGAAUCAGUGUGUGUGUUAGUGGAAGCGUCUGGAAAGGCGCGCGAUACAGGGUGACAGCCCCGUACACAAAAAUGCACAUGCUGUGAGCUCGAUGAGUAGGGCGGGACACGUGGUAUCCUGUCUGAAUAUGGGGGGACCAUCCUCCAAGGCUAAAUACUCCUGACUGACCGAUAGUGAACCAGUACCGUGAGGGAAAGGCGAAAAGAACCCCGGCGAGGGGAGUGAAAAAGAACCUGAAACCGU